UACCCUUUUCCCUUCAAGGUGGGUUUUAUGAAGAUUUCCCCCUCCACCUAUCCUGAUACCAAGAACUGGAUUUGGCAUUGGUUUUAAGUUGCUCAGAUGAAGAUUCAAGGCUCAGAGGGAAGAAACUUCCCAGGCAUCAUACAGUUGGUCAGUGUUAGAGCCAGAAUUUAAAGUCCACUCUGUUAUACCGUUCUGAUAUUCUAAUCACUUUGAUUCCCUGCUGUUCCUGCCCAAGGCUCCUGCAGAUGCCAGGCACCUCUUAUGCUCAGUCAAGGAAGGUCUGUCAGCUUCUAUCAGCACAAAGGAGCAACCCAGUUAAGCAAGGUCAGAAGACUCUGAGGCAGCAGACAACUGGGGAAAGGGGAGAAUAGAUAUCUAAAAUCUAAGAAAGACAGUGUUUA